AUGAAAAAAUUUGCUUCAAGUGCGAAUUAUAUGUUGCUUGUUUAGUUAGUUUGGCAAUUUAUUUAAAAAAAGCUGCGGAUUGAAAGCAAAUGUAAAUUAUAAAGUUCGUCCAAUCAGAAUAGCUGCUAUGUGAAAGAAAUUUUUUUUGGCGAUUCUGCGAAAUUAUGAGAACCAGGAAGAAGCUGAGUGGCUAUACGAAGAUUAAAUCGAAACUGACGAUAUUCCUGUUAAAAAAGACUUCGAAAUCGACGAUCCAGCUCCAGUCGUAACGAUCAAAAAUCAUUUGGAAUUUAUUUGGGAAGAAAAAAAUAAAGCAGUUCCAAUUUUGUAUCAACAAAUAUUUUGUCAUGUGACGCGGGGGGAGGAGGGGGGCAAAAAGAUCAAACCACGUCACGAGACAAAAAGAAUAACUUAUUUUAUAUAAAAUCAUUUUUAAAAUUUUCUUAUAAUCAAUGGAAUGAUGAAUACAACCAGUGUAAUUGUAAAGAAAAGCCAAUGUGUAAUUAUAAGCUAGCCAAAGCUUACAAUUUAGUCACGUUCGUUUUAUUAGCAACGUUGGAAAGAAUUUAUUUUUCUCAUUAGGCUAAAAGAAUAGUAUAUAAACCCACGAAUUCACUACCGAGUCAAUUAGUCAGAAGCCUUUAAACAUUGUAAAUUAACCCGAAAAUCACCGCCAUGAAGCUCCGAUUUUGCAUCGCCGUACUCUUUAUUCUCUGCGUGAAUGUUUCUCAGGUGUUAAGGAUCCAUCUACUGGGAGAAAUUAUAGAUUUGAAGUGUCAUCUUCUAAAAAAAGGAAAAAGUCCAUCUGAAGAUGCACAGACACCCACAUUAUUUAAUUCAACCUCUCCAAAAGAAAUACCAAAAACAACUGUUUCUAGUGAUCUGAUUGAAAUUAUAUUAAACAAUUCCUAAAAUGCUGAAUCAGCGAAUGGUGUCUAAAUAAAAUAAAAUAUUAUAUAAAAAGUUUAAAUGUCGUGUAAACGUUGAAGAAAAUAUAUGUAUCACAAAAAAUUGUUUGAAUUUUUGGCGGCCGUAUACCGACAGUUUGUUUCUAUGGGUGAUGUAACACACUUCUAAUUUUUUCAGAUUAGAAGAAAAUGUAGAGGUUGCAAACAUCAAAUUUACGUAAAAAUUAGGAUUUUCAUAGUCUGCGCAUUUUUUAAGUAUGUAAAGUUUUAGAAAAAUAUCAUAUGAAUGAAAAUUGUAGCUAAUAAAAAGGAAAAACUCUCACUUUGUGUUCGAUUGAAAAAAAAACACUUGGCGCCGGUAAAACGCAUUAAAAAGUGCGGUUUCUUAGAAAGAGGAAGAUACAAGGGCAUAAUUGUACCUCCAAACAUUUUUUGUAAGGAUGGUAAAAAUUCUGAGAUCACCCCCACACCAUAGGGAAGAAAAAUAUAAUUUAUAUAAAAUGAGAAAUUUAAAACCGAGGCCAAAGAAAAAGAAAAGAACAAAUUCUUUAACAAUACUUUAAAUGGGUUCUUCAUCAAAGAAAUUUCAUAAAAUAGUAAUGUAUAUCAAUAGGAAGAAGAGAUAAUAACAAAGUACUCAUUGAGUAUAAAAUAUCAUAUUUUAAAUAUUUUU